rnacentral:rRNA from 1 species
AGUGAACGCUGGCGGUAGGCCUAACACAUGCAAGUCGAACGGCAGCACAGUAAGAGCUUGCUCUUACGGGUGGCGAGUGGCGGACGGGUGAGGAAUACAUCGGAAUCUACUUUUUCGUGGGGGAUAACGUAGGGAAACUUACGCUAAUACCGCAUACGACCUACGGGUGAAAGCAGGGGAUCUUCGGACCUUGCGCGAUUGAAUGAGCCGAUGUCGGAUUAGCUUGUUGGCGGGGUAAAGGCCCACCAAGGCGACGAUCCGUAGCUGGUCGGAGAGGAUGAUGAGCAACACUGGAACUGAGAAACGGUCAAGCUCCUUACGGGGGGCAGAGGUGGGAAAUAUUGGCAAAUGGGCGCAAGCCUGAGCAAGAAAGACCGGGUGGGUGAAGAAGGCCUUCGAGUUGUAAAGCCCUUUUGUUGGGAAAGAAAAGUAGCAGGUUAAUACCCCGCUGUUCGGACGGUACCAAAAGAAUAAGCACCGGCUACCUUCGG